rnacentral:rRNA from 2 species
ACAUGCAAGUCGAGCGGAUGAGUGGAGCUUGCUCCAUGAUUCAGCGGCGGACGGGUGGAGUAAUGCCUAGGAAUCUGCCUGGUAGUGGGGGACAACGUUUCGAAAGGAACGCUAAUACCGCAUACGUCCUACGGGAGAAAGUGGGGGAUCUUCGGACCUCACGCUAUCAGAUGAGCCUAGGUCGGAUUAGCUAGUUGGUGAGGUAAAGGCUCACCAAGGCGACGAUCCGUAACUGGUCUGAGAGGAUGAUCAGUCACACUGGAACUGAGACACGGUCCAGACUCCUACGGGAGGCAGCAGUGGGGAAUAUUGGACAAUGGGCGAAAGCCUGAUCCAGCCAUGCCGCGUGUGUGAANAAGGUCUUCGGAUUGUAAAGCACUUUAAGUUGGGAGGAAGGGCAGUAAGUUAAUACCUUGCUGUUUUGACG